rnacentral:rRNA from 1 species
UACAGAGGUGGCAAGCGUUGUUCGGAAUUACUGGGCGUAAAGGGCGCGUAGGCGGCUUUGCAAGUCCCGUGUGAAAUCCCUCGGCUCAACUGAGGAACUGCACGGGAAACUGCUUGGCUUGAGUUCGGGAGAGGGAAGCGGAAUUCCGGGUGUAGCGGUGAAAUGCGUAGAUAUCCGGAGGAACACCGGUGGCGAAGGCGGCUUCCUGGACCGACACUGACGCUGAGGCGCGAAAGCUAGGGGAGCAAACGGGAUUAGAAACCCCCGUAGUCC